rnacentral:rRNA from 1 species
GACGAACGCUGGCGGCGUGCUUAACACAUGCAAGUCGAACGGUGAAGCCCUUCGGGUGGAUCAGUGGCGAACGGGUGAGUAACACGUGAGCAAUCUGCCCUUGACUCUGGGAUAACUCCAAGAAAUUGGGGCUAAUACCGGAUAUGACCGCUGAUCGCAUGGUCUGGUGGUGGAAAGAUUUAUCGGCUGGGGAUGGGCCCGCGGCCUAUCAGCUUGUUGGUGGGGUAGUGGCCUACCAAGGCGACGACGGGUAGCCGGCCUGAGAGGGUGACCGGCCACACUGGGACUGAGACACGGCCCAGACUCCUACGGGAGGCAGCAGUGGGGAAUAUUGCGCAAUGGGCGAAAGCCUGACGCAGCGACGCCGCGUGGGGAUGACGGCCU